rnacentral:piRNA from 1 species
UCUCCCAGAGUGCCGGCUCCUUCUGC